GAUGAACGCUGGCGGCGUGCCUAAUACAUGCAAGUCGAGCGAAGCGAGGACGGGUAAUGAACACGUGGAUAACCUCCUAUAAGACUGGGUUAACUUCGGGAGACCGGAGCUAAACAGGAUGCUACUAGAUGGAUCCGCGCUGCAUUAGCUAGUUGGUAAGGUAACGGCUUACAAAGGCAACGCUGCAUAGCCGACCUGAGCGGGUGAUCGGCCACACUGGAACUGAGACACGGUCCAGACGCCUACGGUAGGCAGCAGUAGGGAAUCUUCGGCAAUGGGCGAAAGCCUGACGGAGCAACGCCGCGUGAGUGAUGAAGGUCUUCGGAUCGUAAAACUCUGUUGUUAGGGAAGCGGUACCUAAUCAGAAAGCCACGGCUAACUACGUGCCAGCAGCCGCGGUAAUAC
rnacentral:rRNA from 1 species